UCCAACAUUUGUGUGGCUGUGGAAUUACUGGCCGCAAUAGGCAGAAAGCGGGUGUUAGCGAAAGAGAUUCAGUAGCGACCGGAAUACAUUUUCAACCCGCAGCAGCACAAAAACACGGUAGUCCCACAUUUAUCAACGAGGUGCUGCAUGUAAUCAGCCGGAAAGUUGACAGCAACUAUAAGGCACCGGCAGUGAACACUUUCACCUUCCCGCACGGUUGUGUGAAGGCAAAACGCACACACACACGCACACUGUCAACGUGUUGUUUUCACACCCAGUGAAAAGCCACAAACCACGGACGACCGGCUCCCAACAGCAGCAGCAGCAGCAGCAGCAGCAAGAUGCAAGCGAUCAAAUGUGUUGUCGUCGGUGACGGUGCCGUCGGUAAGACGUGUCUGCUGAUCAGCUACACAACGAACGCAUUUCCCGGCGAGUACAUCCCGACCGUGUUCGAUAACUACUCCGCGAACGUGAUGGUCGAUGGCAAACCGAUCAAUCUCGGCCUCUGGGAUACGGCCGGUCAGGAGGAUUACGAUCGACUUCGGCCUCUGUCCUACCCACAGACGGACGUAUUUCUCAUCUGCUUUUCGCUCGUGAAUCCGGCCUCGUUUGAGAACGUGCGGGCGAAAUGGUACCCGGAGGUGCGCCACCAUUGUCCGAACAUACCGAUCAUACUGGUCGGGACGAAGCUCGAUCUGCGGGAUGACAAAAACACGGUGGACAAGCUGCGUGACAAGAAGCUGUCGCCGAUCACGUACCCGCAGGGGUUGGCAAUGGCGAAGGAGAUUGGCGCGGUCAAGUACCUCGAGUGUUCCGCACUGACGCAGAAGGGCCUGAAGACGGUGUUCGAUGAAGCGAUCCGGGCGGUCCUCUGUCCGAUGAUACCGCCGAAGAAGAAACCCAAGUGUAACAUCCUCUAAAGCUUGUUCGGUUUAUUUUCUUUUUAAAAACGCUAAACAAAACAAAACAAAAGAAUACAAUCGCGCUUUUGCCUAGCUCUCCUCUCCCUUAACCUUCUGUGCCCACCUCCCCGCUCCUGCACCGCCUGCGGAUGGUUGUGGGUGUGUAUGAAGAAAGUUCUUCCAAGUCAUCCCUGUUCCUGUGUUUCCACCAUCCACCAGCAUCUUCCCUCUCUCCCAGUAAAACGAAACGAAGGGAAGAAGAAAAUAACAAAACAGCGAGUAAAAAAGGCGCAGGACACAACACACACGCGUCGGAAGAUAUCAUACCAUCAGCGUAAAGAGAACCCUCUCCCAGAGACAUGCACAUAAUCGGCAAAGAUGUUUUCACCAACCCAAUAUCCGGAUGCGAAUUAAUGCACGUACUGUUUCCUGCAACAGGAGGCACGAAGCGUUGCACUUUAAUUGGAACGAAACGAAUGGAGCAAAAAGAAAACUCUCCCCAAAUGGUUAGAAAACAUCUUGCUCGCCAAAAAUGCCAUCUAUGCGAGAGCAAAAAAAGAAGACAACAAAACGGUCGAAAGAAUGCAUUCACAAUGCACCGAUCCCAUCAUCGAGCCAUCGUUCGUUCACACGUCAUUUCCCCACCACGGUCAUGCUCAUACUAUCGUCUUCAUCAUAGAACAUGUGGUUGGCGCCCAUCGGGCGAGAGCGGCCUGACCUUCCCGUCUGUCCUGUUCAGUUAGUUUUAUUGAGUUCAGUUUUAUUUUGUUAAUACCAUGUGUUGGGUGGUACUGAAGUACUGGAGAACAAUUUAUAGUACUCAGGACAAAAAAAAAACAGGAAGCACAAUGUUUGCAAACAAUCCAUUGUCAGACCGCAAAAGCAAUAUUGCAGUAACGUACCGAAAUAGCGCAAUAACUCAGCAUUUAUCCGGUGUGCCGGUAGCAGCUCUUGAUGAUUAAGCGAAUGAUGUCCCGCCCAUACCUUCUUCUUCUCCAUGGCACAUCGCACAAGAUGCUCCCCUAAUGCGCCGGGAGCCGGAUAGUGCACAACCGUAUUGGUUGGUUUAGUUCAAAAGAAAACUUUAGUGGAUCAAUCAACUUUUCAUAUACUUGUACCGAUUUGUUUUGCAACAGACGCUAUUGAAGGGAAAAUAUGCAAAACUAUUUUCUUGAGAAUCAACGGCAACAAGCUGUACGGCACACAAUCAUCAUGAACCAAGGCACAUAAGUUCUAUCAGGUCAAUUGUAAUGAAGCUUCAUGCAGCUAGAGAGAAGUUACUCCUCAGAUCGCUUAACGGAACAGAUAGCAAAUAGUUGAACGUUUCGCUUUAAAUUUUACAUGCGCGAUUUUAAUGCACCCGAUAAGAAGAAUAUUGUGAUUAAAGUAAGUUAGUUUUUGCUUUUGUUAAUCAGUUUAUUAAAAUUAGGCUGAAAGUGUCAGAAUUCCCAUUACCAGAUGGUGAGGAUUGAUUUUAAUUCGUGGUUUAAGGCAUAUUUUAUGCUUGGUGCGCACUGUUUGGUUUAUCGUUUCAUUGCACUGUUGUACAUAUUUGGUACAAUUAGGAAUGAAGAACAUUUCAUAAUAUUUUAUUUCAUGUUUCCUUUUCCUUUUACUUUGUGUAGUUUUGAUUCAUUUAUGUCGGUAACACUACACAUAACAGUUACUCGAUAGGUCGGUUGCAUGAGGUCGUUUGUAAUCUUACAAAACUGAAUGCAUUUGUGGCAUGUGUUUUUGUGCUCUUCUUUUUCACUUUCUUCACAAUACACCUGCGACAAUUAGGAGGGGGGAAACAGUAAAAUUAUGCUAAAAAAAGAAGAAGAAGCUGUUGACGAAUUCAUACGCCGUUUUACUGGGAGAAAGGAUUAUGUGUGUUGGAUCACAAUGAAGAACCUUGAAAAAGGAGAGCUAGAAAUCGGGGCGCUCUAGUACAGAAUCAACAUCUCGUGUGGUGUGAGAUUUUAGUUGAAAUGGGAGAAACAAGACCCCGUUACCCCGUGAAAAUGCAUAUAUACAAAAAAGGAAGGACAGGCGAGUUACAGAGAUACAAACCUAAAAUCAAACAAAACUAUGUAAGAUAGGUAUGUGUGUGUGUAAGUGUGUGCGCGAGCGCGUGUAUGUGUACAAUGAAUACACACAAAUUUCGAGAUUCAAACAGUGGCCGAACAAGCGGAAGGACAAUGCAUGCGUCCCUGCCAUGCGUGUAUGCAUCCGGCGUAUGUCUGUGUAUGUGUAUGUAUGCGUGGUGAUUGUUCUUUAGAAAUAAUGGCAUAAACCGUUGAAACAUUACCGAGUCGAAUCACUGUCACGAUCAUGCGGAGAAAAUCCUGCAGCAUAGAAUGUUAUGCAACAACUCAGCUAUAUUCUGUUGUUUUGUUUCAUAUUCGUAUAGAAAGCUGUCCAGUCCCGGCGAGUUAGGAAAGGACGUUUUGUUAAGUCGUAUUUUACGACCGAAAUCCAAUUGUCGAAUGCUGUCAGGGUCUUUUCUUCCUAUGGUCUUGAUCUUAACGGCGCUUCACGACAGUAGCCGUUGAUGUUGCCACUAUUUCUUUCUAACACGGAACAGUCAUUUACUGUUAAUCGCUUUAGUGAAACGUGAAAUCGAAACCUUUCCCCAAAAGCAAGACAUCAUUUGCUUUCCCAAUAUCCACACGCAGAAAAAAAACGGUCAUAGCCAUAGGCAAACUUCCGAAAGCAGAAUCGAUUAUAAUGCAUCUGUUUUAUAUGUUCACUCUAUCAUUUCAACCCUCAAUCGCCGUGUAAAAGUGUAUAGAUGUUUUGUUGUCCUGCUGCGAAUGCGCUUUUUGUAAUCGCUGUGUGUUUGUGUGUCUGUCCUGUGUGUUGUGCAAGCUCUGUUUUUGCGUACCGAAAACUCGGCGAGAAAAGGCGCAACGCACAAAAAACUCUGUGCUCUAACCCGGCUGGAACACAUAGAGAAGGGUAAAGAAAUAGUGGCAAGAAAGUAAAAACACAAAACAGAAAAAAAGAAAACUCCUUAACCAAAAUAGCUGUAAAAGUGCGAUCGCAAAAAAAAAACAAACAAACACACGCUAGUAAAAGCAAAAUUUAAAACUGUGUAAAAGCAAAAAGGUAUCCUUUUGGA